rnacentral:lncRNA from 1 species
CGAUAAUUUUGAUUUUUAAUAAUGACUACAGUUGCUACAACGACUGAGUUCACUUGUUCAAAUCGUGAAAUCAGUUACUGAUGUUUGCAUCAAGAUAGACUGCUUACAUUAUAUCCAUUUUGGUACGAUCCAGCGAGAGUUGGAUACUCAGGUAUGGUUGAGCACAGCCUUUCACCCUCAGACAGACGGAUAGUCCGAGGGCACCAU